rnacentral:piRNA from 1 species
UCUUAUCAUUUCUUUGACAGA